CUUUAGUAUAUCAUUCCCGUUACCGGGUCACACAAGUGUCUAAACACUAACUGCCAGGUACAGGUAUAUCAUAUACUUUCGUAACUGACUUUUGUAUAAUCGACUUCACCAAGUGGUUGACUGGGUACGAGCUGAAUAGAAAAACAGCAGAAUGAAAUUAUUCAAUAUAACAUUAUAUUUUAUAUAUAUUGCAUUAUACGUCCUCUCAUUUGACCAUAUUGUCACACUAGCUCAAGUUAACUUGGGCGAUGGUUCAUUCAAUAAAUCAUCUGCCGGUAAACUUGCUAAGAAUGAUAUUGGCAAAAACACUGCAACAAUUUGAAAUGACACACGGCACCAGAUUUGGAUUAGGUAUAUAUUAUGAUCUUUAAAAUAAUAAAAAAAUUAUAAAUAGUAAAAAUGUAUCUUUGAUUUUAGUAAAAUAAUAAAUUAAAAAAUGACUUUAAAAGAAAAUACACUUUUUAGUACACACGAACAGUGAUAACUGUAAAUAAACAUGUGAAAUUUAAUUAAAAUAUGAUUAAAAACU